rnacentral:rRNA from 1 species
GACGAACGCUGGCGGCGUGCUUAACACAUGCAAGUCGAACGAAGUGGCGAACGGGUGAGUAACGCGUAAUCAACCUGCCCUUCAGAGGGGGACAACAGUUGCAAACGACUGCUACUAACGCAUAAUGAAGGAGGGGAUUGCGUCUGAUUAGAUAGGUGGAGGGGUAAAGGCCCACCAAGGCGAGUAUCAGUAGCCGGGCGGGGAGGAGGAGCGGGCACAAUGGGACUGGGACACGGGCCAGACUCCUAAGGGAGGCAACAGUGGGGAAUCUUCCGCAAUAGACGAAAGUCUGACGGAGCAACGCCGCGUGGGUGAUGACGGCCUUCGGGUUGUAAAGCACUGUUAAUCGUGGCGCGGUACCGGAAUAGAAAGCCACGGCUAACUACGUGCCAGCAGCCGCGGUAAUUC